CCUACGGGGGGCAGCAGUGGGGAAUAUUGGGCAAUGGAGGCAACUCUGACCCAGCAAUGCCGCGUGAGUGAUGAAGGUAAUUUUAUUGUAAAGCUCUUUUCUUUGGAACGAAUAAAUGACGGUACCAAAGGAAUAAGCCCCGGCUAACUACGUGCCAGCAGCCGCGGUAAUACGUAGGGAGCGAGCGUUGUCCGGAAUUACUGGGUGUAAAGGGAGCGUAGGCGGGCUUGUAAGUUGAAUGUCUAAUCCACCGGCUCAACCGGUGAUCGCGUUCAAAACUGCAGGUCUUGAGUGAAGUAGAGGCAGGCGGAAUUCCUAGUGUAGCGGUGAAAUGCGUAGAUAUUAGGAGGAACACCAGUGGCGAAGGCGGCCUGCUGGGCUUUAACUGACGCUGAGGCUCGAAAGCGUGGGGAGCAAACAGGAUUAGAUACCCCAGUAGUC
rnacentral:rRNA from 1 species